ACGGUGGACACACGGCAUACGCUUACCGACCGCUCAAGUAGGGAGUUCACUUGACACUCGGCUGGACAAGUAACUCGAGAAAAAGAAGAAAUCUUCAUUUUAAGUAAUUUUCUUACGAAGCAAGAUAAGACUUUGAAAGCUCGCACAAUGGACAAGAGGAUCUGGUUUCUUCUGCUCCUGCUGUUAGGUGAACAAGCUUGGCCAGCGGAUUGUACAACAUGCUACAGUCCUAUGGAUAACGAGAUGGAAGUAAUUGGACACUGUGCAACUUCAUGUUACAAUGGAGCACUUGUUAAGUCAAGAAAAUGCCAUCACGGUCUACGCUGCUGCAUACCAAAUAUCCUGAGAAGAACCUUGCUGAUCUGAGUAAGCGCCGUACACAAAACACGAGCGACCACAAUUCAAAAAGAAUUGGAAGAGAUAUGACGUUAACAUUUGGUGAACUUUACAUGGUCCUUGGAUUUUAUCUUUGUUUACUUUGGCAACUUAUACUUUUUGACAACAUAUUUAUUUUAAAAUCAAACUUAAGUCUUUUGUUAGAAUAUCAUAGAGAUCUGUGUAGGAGAAAGGGUGCAGUGACAUAUUGGCCUCCAAAGCUAUUUGUUUUGUCGCAUGCUUUUCACGCACAAACACACGCAUGCGUAAAGGAUAACAUAUCAGACACUCAAAUUAUGGAGCUUUUAGUUUAUAUCGUGAUUUGUGAUUGGUAAAAUUUGGUAUUACUAAUUAGUGAGAGUAAAAAGGGUGGCAAACAUUUUCUAAAUAAAUAUCAAUCUUUGGAAAACAUUUCAUCAA